UGUUAUACCAGGGUCCACUGCGACCCCCG
rnacentral:sRNA from 1 species